GACGAACGCUGGCGGCGUGCUUAACACAUGCAAGUCGAACGGAAAGGCCCUGCUUUUGUGGGGUGCUCGAGUGGCGAACGGGUGAGUAACACGUGAGUAACCUGCCCUUGACUUUGGGAUAACUUCAGGAAACUGGGGCUAAUACCGGAUAGGAGCUCCUGCUGCAUGGUGGGGGUUGGAAAGUUUCGGCGGUUGGGGAUGGACUCGCGGCUUAUCAGCUUGUUGGUGGGGUAGUGGCUUACCAAGGCUUUGACGGGUAGCCGGCCUGAGAGGGUGACCGGCCACAUUGGGACUGAGAUACGGCCCAGACUCCUACGGAGGCAGCAGUGGGGAAUAUUGCACAAUGGGCGGAAGCCUGAUGCAGCAACGCCGCGUGCGGGAUGACGGCCUUCGGGUUGUAAACCGCUUUCGCCUGUGACGAAGCGUGAGUGACGGUAAUGGGUAAAGAAGCACCGGCUAACUACGUG
rnacentral:rRNA from 1 species